rnacentral:lncRNA from 1 species
UAAGAUCCUGUGGACCCAACACUGCAUUGAUACCGUUAUAUAUUUUUAUUUAUAUAUACAUAUACAUGUACACAGCCAGGCGGGAAGAUGCUGGGCUGCCGGAGCACGGAAGAGCCAGGACUGUGCCCCGAACUUCACCCGCUCGGCAGCCGCUGUUCCUAAGCCAUUUCCCCUCUCCUCCCCCGCCUCUUUGCCUCCCGGACCGAGAAUCUGCUCUUUAAAGUUGAUCUGACGGGGAAAGCAGAGACGAGCUUGUGCAUAGUUCGCAGGGCUGAAGCCAAAGAACACAGCAGCCUUUACAAGUGAUCUCUCCACCUGCAGCAAUCUGUUCCACUGCAAACAGCUCAGUUUUGGCCUUAUAUGUUGGAAGCAUGUCAACACAAUUUGUCAAUGGAAGCUUUUUGGAUGUUGCAAGUAAGGAAGUGAUCAGACGGGAUUUGGGGAUUUUGCCACUGCCAAACCAUUUUUCAUUUCCUGAUAGCUUUCUGUGGUGCAGUUCUUGAAGAUAUCUUUCCUUUCUGAGAAAACUCAGAGUGAAUGUUUAUUACAGUCGGCUAUUGAAAAAGUCUCAACUAAAGGGUCCUCUAUAUCAUGGAAUGAUAUUUCUUUCAUUUGCUGCUUACAGUCCUCAUAUAAUUUCUUUCACCAGUAGUUUUAAUAGUCCUUGUUACUUGUGCAGUUUUUCUGCCUCAGUGUGUUCUUUGUGCCCUAGCAGAAACUAACUACAGUUAGGUGAUAUGAGUUGUGUGGUGUGAAUUUUGGAAGAAGUACGAUACUGCAGAAGAAAAGGCAUCUCCGAUUUCACUAAGUUACAGAAGUCACAGAGAAGACAGGUUUAUCUUCUCUGUCCUGGAAUCUGCUCAUACCACUGCGUACAGCUCUUGCUAUGUACUGCAGCCAGCCACUCGCUUCUAGGGGCUUUGCUUUCAGCAAAGUCUGAUACACAGAGUUCUCUGAUGCUUCUUGUGUUUCAUCUUGCCUGAAAAGUUUGUAGUAAUAUGCAGGCUCAUCACUAGUCCUGAUGGAAAUGUGUGCUUCCCAUACUGUUGAAUGACAGUUUUCCCAGUGGG